GGGGUCAAUUUUCUUGUACUCUGCUCUCUGGUUAUUCAAUUCCAAGCUUCUUUCUCUCACUCUCUCUCUCUCUCUGUCUCUCUGAACUCUCAUGAUACACAUAUGGAGAAAAUAAAUGAGUGGUCUGGUGCAAUCGGAUGUGGUAUAAUUGGUGUAGUAUUAUUGAGCUUGAUAUGGGGAUCAUGGAGAAUAUUGAAUUGGGUAUGGUUAAGACCGAAGAAGCUAGAGAGUUGCCUCAGAAAACAAGGUCUCAAUGGAAACUCAUACAAGCUCUUCUUCGGAGACAUAAAAGAGAACUCCGCCAUGAAUAAAGAAGCUAGCUCCACUCGCAUCAGCAUCUCCGAUGACGCAGUGCCUAGUCGUGUCUUGCCCUUCAUUCAUACCCAAAUCUCCAACUAUGUUGCAGGAAAGAAGUCUUUUACGUGGUUUGGACCAAUACCUAGUGUUACCAUCAUGGACCCUGAACUUGUAAAGGAGGUCUUGUCUAAGAAUUUCAAAUAUCAAAAGGCCAAGUCUAAUCCAUUUGUCAAGUUGUUAGCCAAUGGACUAACUAGCCUUGAUGGUGAGCAAUGGGCUAAACACAGAAAAAUCAUCAACCCGGCUUUCCAUAUGGAGAAGUUGAAGCAUAUGGUACCUGCAUUUUAUUUGUGCUGUAGUGAGAUGAUAAACAAAUGGGAGAACAAUAUUGCCUUAACAGAAGGGUCAUGUGAGGUGGAUGUGUGGCCUUAUCUUCAAACUUUGACUAGCGAUGUGAUAUCUCGCGCAGCCUUUGGUAGCAACUAUGAAGAUGGAGGAAAGAUAUUCAAACUUCAGAAAGAACUACUUGUACUUAUAAUCCAGACUGUCAGUACAGUUUACAUCCCAGGCUUGAGGUUUUUGCCAACUAAGAGGAACAGGAGGAUGAAAGAAAUUGACAAAGAAAUACAUGUUACACUGAGUGUUAUCAUUGAUAGAAGAAUGAAGGCAAUGAAGGAAGGAGAAACUAGUAAAGACGACUUACUGGGUAUAUUACUAGAAUCCAAUCUCAGAGAAAUCGAACAGCAUGGGAAUAACAGGAAAGAUGGAAUGACUAUUGAAGAAGUUAUUGAAGAAUGCAAGCUAUUCUAUAUUGCUGGGCAGGAGACCACGUCGAUUUUGCUUGUGUGGACUAUGAUUUUAUUAAGUAGGCAUCAAAAUUGGCAACAACGUGCAAGGGAAGAGGUAUUGCAAAUAUUUGGGAACGACAAACCCAACUUUGAUGGCUUAAAUCGCCUCAAAAUUAAAAAAUUGUGUUCCAUCACUGCACUUCCUCCAUCUGAAACGGAUACCACUUAUGAUGAUUGGUGCAGCGAGGAUUCUUGUGUUAUGGGUUGGCUUUGGUAUAGCUUGGAACCUAUUGUUGUUACCACUGUUGAGUUUUGUGAGACGUCUAAGCAAAUUUGGGAUUCUCUUGCUGAUUCUUUUUCGCAUCAGAGUGAUGUGUCUCGGGUGUAUGAUUGUAUGAGCAGAUUUUUGCUACUAAGCAAUCUAGUCGACCACUCUUUUACGUAUCACAGCAGCCUUACACAUCUGUGGGAUCAGUUGUUACAACAUCGACCUUUCACUACGGACUUUGGGAGGAGUUUAUGGUUUCUUCUUUGCUCAUUGGUUUAGAUUCCAAUUUGCGUGGCUUCAAGGAUUAUAUUUUGGCCAGCGAGAUUUUACCUUCAGCAGCCAAUGCUUGUUCUCGCUUAUUAUGAUCUUCUUUGGGACACAAUUCUAGUAUUUCUGGCUCUGCUCGUUCGAUCGGUGCUUUCUCUGCUUUGGUUUAUGGUCGGGUACCACUCUUAGUGGGUCUCGUGGCAACUUUGGGUCUCGUGGUUCCCAAACUAGUUAUCAUGGGAAUAGUUCCCGUGAUAGUGGUUCAUAUCAUGGCUCACGUGUAGUGGUUCACGUGGUGGUCGUGGCUCAGCUUCUCAUGGUGAUUGGAAGUGUGAUUAUUGUGGUUCCAUUGGUCAUACUGAGCCUUGGUGUUGGCAAAAGUAUGGCGAGCCUAAUCAUGUAAAUCAGGUCUUUGAUGUUACUACCUCGUCCCCGACUCCCUUUGGCUCUAUAGCUCAUCAUUUGAUUCUCACAAGGCACUCACUACUUGGAUUAAUGAGCUUAUUUCCAUUCUUUGGUCUGCUCUUCCCUCAUCCUCUACUGCCACCUUGGUGGGUUCAGGACCUCAAGACCAAGAAGAUGAUUGGUUCAGACAUGAGCAGCAAGGCCUUUAUUAUUUGGAUACUGACAACUCCUGUCUCCCUUCAACUCCUAUUCUGAGUGCCACCAUUUCUCCUUUGCAAUGACAUUUUCGUUUGGGUCAUUCGUCUUUGGCCAAGUUGAAGUUUGUUGUUCUUGGUUUUAGUCAUGUGUCUACCGUAGAAUGUGAAGCUUGUCAGCUUGGAAAACAUCACCGUAGUUCUUUUUCUAGUCAUAAUGUUAGUCGUGAGUUUGAGUCCUUUGAUGUAGUCCACACGGACAUAUGGGGUCCUUGUACUUUCACCCUUCAUGGUUUUUUAUAUUUUGUUAUUUUUGUGGAUGAUUUCUCCCGAAUGACUUAGUUGUUUUUAAUGAGAAAUCGCUCUAAGUUCCUCACGUAUUAUUCACGUUUUAUAAUGAAAUUUAAACUCAGUUUGUUAAGUGUAUUAAAGUGUUUCGUUCUGAUAAUUCAGUCUAUUGUGAACUCCUUUUGUGUUGAUCGAGGUAUCAUUAAUCAGACUACUUGUGCUCGCACUUCUCAGCAAAAUGGGGUCGUUAAACGGAAACACCGUCAUGUAUUAGAUGUUGCUCGUACCUUAUUAUUCAAGUGCCUAAACACUUCUAGGCGAUGCUUUCCUUACAACAUGUUUUCUCAUUAAUCGUAUGUCAUCAGCUGUGUUGCAUAAUCAGUCUCCGUUCUCCUUGUUAUAUCUUUUUUGUUCCUCAUUCCCUUUUCCACCUCGGGUUUUUGGUUGUGUAGCAUUUGCUUAUGUUCUUGAUCUUAGUCAGGAUAAGUUGUCCCCCUCGUGCUCGCAAGUGUGUUUUUUUAGGCUAUUCUUAUACACAAAAGGGUUAUCGUUGUUAUCAUCCUGAGUCCCGUUGUUAUUUGGUCAGUGUUGAUGUCACUUUUUUUUGAGUCCACCUUGUUCUUCUCUACACAAGGCCAACAGUUGUCUCCAAAUCUGUUCUCGUGUCGUGAGAGGGAGCCUUUCUUUCCCUCAGCCACUCCUAUAUCUACUCUUCCCAUGCUUGAUGUGUUCUCAUCUUCCAUUCUUUCAUCUCCUCUUCUGCUGCCACAUGUGCCUCCCCUCCGUCUUCUCCAUUGCCCACUUCGUCUUCUCCAUUGCAGGUCUAUCAGAGAUCCCACAAUUGACGAUUAGUACAUCUUCUCCGUCUGAGGUUCCUGUUCUCUUUUCUCCUCUAGCCUCUACUAAUUUGCCUAUUGCUUUGCGUAAAGGUAAACGUAUUUGCAUUCAGCAUUCUAUUUUCAAGUUUGUUUCCAUAUGCUUGUAUUUCUCUUGUUUUGCUUUCCUUUGCUUGUAGUUUGUCUUCUCUGUCUAUUCCCACUUCUUAUCGACAGGCUAUGUCCAGCUCUAGCUAGAAACAU